rnacentral:misc_RNA from 1 species
CAGUGUCCCAACUGCUCCUGCACAUUCUAAUAUUUUCCGGGCUACCAGACCUAGAAUGUGCAGGAGCAGUUGGGACACUGACUUCAGAGCUUUGUGGCUGACUGCUUACAGACUGAAAUUUUGCAGAGCUAAUUUUUCCUCCAUUUUCCAAAUUUGUCUUUGGCGUGGAAAAUAAGCCUUCUGAAAUACUUAAGUUUUCCACCUGAGGACUAUUGAAAGAUGUAUGAAAAUAAUCAGAUCCUCUAGGAGUUUCUGCAAUUACUUUAUGCCGUAAUCUGCGAAUGGGCCCCACAGAUCCUUGGCCAUCAUUUAAAGCAUUGCCUCUUGAAUUUACCUGUCCAAAUGGAGUUUGAGCCUGCUGAAAGGGAGUAGCCAUCAUAUUUGGACGUCUAUCGCUAUUGCUCUGUAACUGAAUCAAUUUGGACUUAGUCUUUGAAUAAAUAGUUCUGGAAUAAGGGGUUCGGGGGAAAUUGUGAAGCCCAAAUCUCCCUCUUUGACUUUGUGGGGUUAUAUACCCACGCUGAUCCUGUACCAAGGCACCUGGCCAGCAUGGAGAUGACUUAGGGACAGGUGAUGGAAUAAAGGGUUUUAGUGCAAGCUCAUCACUGCUUGGUAUUGUCCCUUCAUCUUUUGAAACGAAGCUGUUAGUACCAAAGCCUACUUCUGAUGUUCGAUUUUCCAUAUAUGCUCUCGCAAUUUCAACUGGUGAAGUACCAACAUCAUCUUGUAGCUGUGCUUUUGACUGCAGAAGAGGGGUUGAGCUUUUCCAAAUAACUCUAUCCAAAUCUUCAUGAUUUUCUUCAAUGGACCUUGAAUUUUCAAGGCCAUUUGCAGGCUUUCGAGCAUCUACUGAAAUUGCACUUGAGUAUUUUCUUUCUUUAAUUUUUGAGGUUUCCCCAAUAGCUCUAUUCAAAUCUUCUUGCUUUUCUUCAGCUGACUUCCAAGAAAAUUCAAGGGCAACUUUAGACCCUCUAAGAUCUCCCACAGUUGUACUUAAACAUUUAUUUUCUUGCUCAACGUCAGGAAGAUCAACAGCCUUUGACUUUAUUAUCUCCAUUAGAUGGUUAAUUUCAUCCCUAGAAAAUCUCUUAUCUUUCAUUAGUUGCUCAAUUUCAGACAGCCCAUUAGGAUCAGAAACAUCAGCAUUUUGGUUUUGUUUGUGCCCAUUAAAUUCAGAUUCGCUAUUUGAUCUAUUGACUACAUGGCUACUACCAGCUACUCCAGUUGCUUUUGAUUCCAAAUUAUUCCAAGUGAAAUUGACGUCAUCGCCGCUAGCACUUUGUUCCACCUCGGUGUGCGAGUCAUCGUCUCGGCCGCUAGGAGAAGGGAGCGCAUUGACGGAUUGCGAUUUGGAGAAGAAAGAAGGGAAGAUUAGGGUGGCGCCGCCAGCUAUAAGACGGAAAGCAGGAUCCACGAGCUUGGAGAGCCAACGGCCGCGCUGCUCCUGGUUCUGCGGCGGGCGAGCGUAAGGUGUGGCCGGUGGCCUCCACGACGGCGGUUUCCUGAACUUCCCGCCUGCACCUCUCUGCUCAGUUGCAAGGGGUGCAAACGACGUCGUUUCUGGGUCUCUCUUCUCCAUAUGUUGCAGCUUCAGAGCCCCAGUCACAGACUAUUGACCACGCACAAGCACA